rnacentral:rRNA from 1 species
CCCUUAGAUGUUCUGGGCUGCACGCGCGCUACAAUGGAUGAAUCAACGCGUCAUCCUGGCCCGAAAGGGUUGGGGAACCGCUGAACCUCAUCCGUGGUUGGGAUUGGGGUUUGUAAUUAUUCCCCAUGAACUAGGAAUUCCCAGUAAGCGCGAGUCAUAAGCUCGCGUUGAUUACGUCCCUGCCCUUUGUACACACCGCCCGUCGCUACUACCGAUUGGAUGGUUUAGUGAGAUCCUCGGAUUGGUCACGGCACGGUGGCAACACUGCGUCGGUGUGCCGAGAAGACGAUCAAACUUGAUCAUCUAGAGGAAGUAAAAGUCGUAACA